rnacentral:rRNA from 1 species
AUUGAACGCUGGCGGCAUGCCUUACACAUGCAAGUCGAACGGUAACACGCUGCAAGGUGGUUCUGACUGGUGGACGGGGGCGGAAUGCAUCGGAAUGCGUCCAGAUGUGGGGGAUAAUUACUCAUAAGAGUAGGUAAUACCCCCUAAUACCUCUGGCUGAAAACGGGGGAACGUAAGGCCUCGUGCGAUUUGUCCCGCCGAUGUCAGAUUAGGUAGUUGGUGGGGUAAAGGCUCACCAAGGCAACGAUCUGUAGCUGGUCUGAGAGGACAACCAGCCACACUGGAACUGAGACACGGCCCAGACUCCUACGGGAGGCAGCAGUGGGGAAUUUUGGACAAUGGGCGCAAGCCUGAUCCAGCAAUGCCGCGUGCAGGAAGAAGGCCUUCGGGUUGUAAACUGCUUUUGUACGGAACGAAACGGCUCUGGUUAAUACCCGGGGCUAAUGACGGUACCGUAAGAAUAAGCACCGGCUAACUACGUG